GCCUGGGUGGCUCAGCGGCUGGGCACCUGCCUUUGGGGCAGGUCGUGAUCCUGGGAUCCGGGAUCGAGUCCCGCAUCAGGCU
rnacentral:tRNA from 1 species